rnacentral:rRNA from 1 species
CAGCCGCCGCGGGAAAACGGAGGGUGCAAGCGUUAAUCGGAAUUACUGGGCGUAAAGCGCACGCAGGCGGUCUGUCAAGUCAGAUGUGAAAUCCCCGGGCUUAACCUGGGAACUGCAUUUGAAACUGGCAGGCUAGAGUCUUGUAGAGGGGGGUAGAAUUCCAGGUGUAGCGGUGAAAUGCGUAGAGAUCUGGAGGAAUACCGGUGGCGAAGGCGGUUCCCUGGACAAAGACUGACGCUCAGGUGCGAAAGCGUGGGGAGCAAACAGGAUUAGAUACCCGAGUAGUCCCUGUCUCUUAUAC